rnacentral:siRNA from 1 species
AUUCGGACUUGGAGGGUAACUUGC